UACGUAGGGGGGCUAGCGUUGUCCGGAUUUAUUGGGCGUAAAGAGCGUGUAGGCGGCCAGGUAGGUCUGCUGUGAAAGACUCGAGGCUCAACCUCGAGACGUCGGCGGAAACCAUCUGGCUAGAGUCCGGAAGAGGGUAGUGGAAUUCCCGGUGUAGUGGUGAAAUGCGUAGAUAUCGGGAGGAACACCGGUGGCGAAGGCGGCGACCUGGGACGAUACUGACGCUGAGGUGCGAAAGCGUGGGGAGCAAACAGG
rnacentral:rRNA from 1 species